AAAUGGAGGCGCAGGAGGAUCCGGGCCUGGGAGGGAGGGUGGACCCGGGGGUAGGAGGUGAGAUCCCUCCCGGAGGGGCCCGCUCCCCGUUUUCCCUCCCCCCGCCGGCUGCGUGGCACCUUUGCAGUGAGGGGGUGGGUGCGGGGAUGGGUGCGUGAGCCGUCCCGGUGGGUGCACGGGUUUGGAGGGGACGGCCUUUUUUUUUUUUUUUUUGAGAUCUUAAGGCUGUAAAGGAGAGGUGUGGGAUGAUGGGAAGAGUUUGGGGUGAAAAGGAAAGCCUCGGUACUACAAAAUAAACCCUGUGACGACUCCUCCCCUCCCCUCCCUCAACUCUCGCCUCCUCCUCCUGGAGUGUUACCUCCGGUGACCCCCCCACAGCCUAUGGCCAGAUGGGGACCGGGUGACUGGUUUCCCCUCAAAUAGGGACACAGGUUGGUGCAGGAUGGGAAGUGGAUAGUUCCCUUAAAAAAAAAAAAUGGCUUGGGGUGGUUUUGGUGUCAAGUACGUGGCUCAAAUAGAGUUAAAAAUUCCCAAAGGGGGGGAAAAAAUCUCUGCUCUGCUUCCCACCAGAGCAGUCUCCGCCUCCUGCAACUCACUUCCCUGGGGCCACAUCAAGCCAGGUUUUUCCACCAGCCAAGACCUCAGCCAAGACAUACUGAAUCUCCCAGACUAGCAACAACCACGUCAUCCUCCCCUUUCCAUCCCCCUCGCCCUGCCCCGGACUGGAGGCCUGGUCACUCCUUCACUUUCCCAGGACCCUGUUGUUCCCUCUUCCUGCCCUCUAAGUAGAUAGCUUUCCCAGGAAGCCUGGGUGAACGGAGAACGCCUUCCCAAACAGCUGUAUGCCGAGAGGCCCACUAAAGUUAAGAGAUGGAGUAACCAGGGCUGCCCACCAUUCGUGUUCACUUCCCACCAAGGAGCCCAUCACCACCUUGAAGACCAGUAUUCCUCAGCUGGCCUCUGCAUCCUGUGAACGCAGGAUUCCCCAGCAUUUUCAAAGGGAAAAAACAUUUUUGUGAAUGAUUUGGAUCGAAUAAUUUAUUUUAUUGUGAUACUGGGAGUAAAUACAGAUUUUUAUUAAUAAAACAAAAUGAUGGAAAACAGAAGCAAUGAAUGAAGAUGACCAUACUGCCCAUAAUACACAACCUCAUGGUUAGAGAAUCCAGUUCCAAUGAACAGCUGCUGGUGUCAUGGGGCUUUAUUGCAUCAACAGGGAAAGGUCGCCUGUGAGAUGAAGAGACCUAGCAGGUAGGUCCCUCCCACCACGACCACCGUUCCUUUCACGGCUCCCUUUGGUUAAAGGUGAAAGGGGAGCUGCUCCCUGAGGACCGCGUGGCUUCUUAGGAGACUGACUGGUCAGGUCAGCUACACAGCAGAGCAGCUGCUUGGCCCUCACUGCCCACCUCCCACCCUCCA